rnacentral:pre_miRNA from 1 species
UUUAUACUCCCUCCGUCCGGAAAUACUUGUCGGAGAAAUGCAUAAAAAUGGAUGUACCUAGAACUAAAAUACAUCUAGAUACAUUCAUUCCUUCGACAAGUAUUUCCGGACGGAGGGAGUAUAUA